ACAUGCAAGUCGAGCGGGCGUAGCAAUACGUCAGCGGCAGACGGGUGAGUAACGCGUGGGAACGUACCUUUUGGUUCGGAACAACACAGGGGAAACUUGUGCUAAUACCGGAUAAGCCCUUACGGGGGAAAGAUUUAUCGCCGAAAAGAUCGGCCCGCGUCUGAUUAGCUAGUUGGUGAGGUAACGGCUCACCAAGGCGACGAUCAGUAGCUGGUCUGAGAGGAUGAUCAGCCACAUUGGGACUGAGACACGGCCCAAACUCCUACGGGAGGCAGCAGUGGGGAAUAUUGGACAAUGGGCGCAAGCCUGAUCCAGCCAUGCCGCGUGAGUGAUGAAGGCCCUAGGGUUGUAAAGCUCUUUUUGUGCGGGAAGAUAAUGACGGUACCGCAAGAAUAAGCCCCGGCUAACUUCGUG
rnacentral:rRNA from 1 species